rnacentral:rRNA from 1 species
GUGGGUAGUCCGCACGAGCGCAACCCUGUCCUUAGUUGCCAGCACAUAAUGGUGGGGACUCUAAGGAGACUGCCUGGGAUAACCAGGAGGAAGGUGGGGAUGAUGUCAAGUCAGUAUGUCCCUUAUGUCCAGGGCUACACACGUGUUACAAUGGCCGGUACAAUGGGCUGCAAACCUGCGAGGGUAAGCCAAUCCCAAAAAACCGGCCCCAGUUCAGAUUGGAGUCUGCAACUCGACUCCAUGAAGGAGGAAUCGCUAGUAAUCGCGGAUCAGCACGCCGCGGUGAAUACGUUCCCGGGUCUUGUACACACCGCCCGUCAAGCCAUGGAAGUCGGCAGUACCCGAAGCCGGUGUCCCAACUCUUCGGAGAGGGAGCCGUCGAAGGUAAGGCUGGUAACUAGGGCUAAGUCGUAACAAGGUAGCCGUACCGGAAGGUGCGGCUGGAUCACCUCCUUUCU